GGUUGGUUAGUGUAGUGGUUAUCACGUUUCCUUUACAUAUAUCAUGCUCUCAACCUCUCCCUGGAGAGUUUGGCAGACAAUUAUGUAAACCGGAAAAGGCCGCGAGUUCGAUCCUCGCACCGAUCA